CAAUGAGUUACAAAUAUGAAUGAAUUACUAUUUACAAUAUCAAAUUACAAGGUAAUAGGAAUGCGGAGGAAUGGGAGGAUGGGGGGAGUUAAAGGAAAGAAGGAGGUAAUCCGUCAAUCGGGUAUUAAAGAUUUAUUUGGGGGACAUUUUGUUCGAGGUGCGUCUACAUCAUCGGCAAAACAGGCUGGUUUAUGUAUCGAUAUGAUUUUAGACAUGGCAGACUGGACUAGUA